UACGGAGGGUGCAAGCGUUAUCCGGAUUUACUGGGUUUAAAGGGUGCGCAGGCGGAUAUGUAAGUCAGUGGUGAAAUCUCUAGGCUUAACCUGGAAAUUGCCGUUGAUACUAUAUAUCUUGAAUGCUGUGGAGGUAAGCGGAAUAUGUCAUGUAGCGGUGAAAUGCUUAGAUAUGACAUAGAACACCUAUUGCGAAGGCAGCUUACUACGCAGAUAUUGACGCUCAUGCACGAAAGCGUGGGGAGCGAACAGG
rnacentral:rRNA from 1 species